rnacentral:rRNA from 1 species
CCUACGGGAGGCAGCAGUGGGGAAUAUUGCGCAAUGGGCGAAAGCCUGACGCAGCGACGCCGCGUGAGGGAUGAAGGUCUUCGGAUCGUAAACCUCUGUCAGCAGGGAAGAACGGACACGGGGCUAAUCAGCAGUGAAUUGACGGUACCUGCAAAGGAAGCACCGGCUAACUCAGUGCCCGCAGCCGCGGUAAUCCGGAGGGGGCGAGCGUUAAUCGGAAUUACGGGGCGUAACGCGCGCGGAGGCGGUAUGUCAAGUCAAGGGUGAAAUCCCCGCGCUCAACGUGGGAACUGCCUUUGAACCUGGCAAACUGGAGUGUGUGAGAGGCUAGUGGACUUCCCGGUGU